AUUGAACGCUGGCGGCAGGCCUAACACAUGCAAGUCGAACGAGUGGCGGACGGGUGAGUAAUGUCUGGGAAACUGCCUGAUGGAGGGGGAUAACUACUGGAAACGGUAGCUAAUACCGCAUACCAUCAGAUGUGCCCAGAUGGGUUUAGCUUGUGGGGGGGUUAACGGCUCACCAAGGGCACGAUCCCUUGCUGGUCUGAGAGGAUGAACAGCCACACUGGAACGGAGACACGUUCCAGACUCCUUCGGGAGGCAGCGGUGGGGAAUAUUGGACAAUGGGCGCAAGCCUGAUGCAGCCAUGCCGCGUGUAUGAAGAAGGCCUUCGGGUUGUAAAGUACUUUCAGCGGGGAGGCGUUACCCGCAGAAGAAGCACCGGCUAACUCCGUGCCAGCCGCCGCGGUAAUAC
rnacentral:rRNA from 1 species